UACGUAGGGGGCAAGCGUUGUCCGGAAUCAUUGGGCGUAAAGAGCGCGUAGGCGGUCCAGUAAGUCCGCUCUGAAAGUCCGGGGCUCAACCCCGGGAGGCGGGCGGAUACUGCUGGGCUAGAGUCCGGAAGAGGCGAGUGGAAUUCCUGGUGUAGCAGUGAAAUGCGUAGAUAUCAGGAGGAACACCGAUGGCGAAGGCAGGUCUCUGGGCUGACACUGACGCUCAUGCACGAAAGCGUGGGGAGCAAACAGG
rnacentral:rRNA from 1 species